UAAAUUGUUUAGAGUGCCCAUGGCAAGUGCUUGUCAAAGAGUUUUGGGACCAUCAGUGACCUCUAAUGAACAUCCAGAGUUUUAGGCUAUGAACCGGGGUCUUCACUCUGAAAGCACUGGCUGACCUGACCACCUCUGGGGAGCUAGAAAGCUUAUGUCCAGAGCGACAAACUGGAUACCUGAUCCCUUUACCAGUUACCUUGGCUCCAUCAAGGAACAGAUAACCUCUGGCAGAGGAAUUCCCGGAAACCUGGGAUCUGGCCGGCCUUCAGAGCAAAUCCAAUGGUGCCUCCGACCACAUGGAAGUACUCGGGCAUAGCAAUCAGGGAAGAACUGGCCCAUGCCUCGCUGGCUAGCCAGAUCCUGCCUGUGAUAUUGCGCCGGACAAUUUCCUUGAUGAGGGGUUCAAGGUCUGGACCACUGGAGAAAACUACGAUGACUUUAGCUGUGGAAUUCUGGAUCACCUCCACCACUUGCUGGAUCUCUUCCUCAUCAGAGUACUGGGAGAUGAGCUCACUGAAGUCAAUACAGAUGUCCCGCUCUUCAGCUUCCUCUCGAAACUUCUCAAUCCCCGGCCGGCCAUAGUCAUCAUCAGCAGCAAUUGUGCCCACCCAGUUCCAGCGGAAAUAUUCGAUAAUGUCUGCCAUGGCAGUGGCCUGGUGUUCAUCAUUGGGGAUGGUACGGAGGAAGGACUUGAAUUGAUUCUUGUUGCUGAGUAGUCUACUGGAGGAGGCAUAGCUAACCUGGAAAGAAUCAAAACCAGAGUGAAUGAGAUGCCAGGUGAUGCCUGAGGCUACUUUAAUAGGCUUUUGCUGUGGGUUUCCAAAACCUAGAGAGGCUGAAAAGGAAGCCUGGAGAAGUUGCCUUGGUUAUUUCCAUUUUCUAAGAUAUAGCCAGUUCUUCAUCUGAGCAUGGGUAUGGGGCACCAAGGAAAGAGAGCCUUUAAUGGUGAAAGAUCGUUGUCUGAAGAAAUACUCAAAAUCAUGCAAAGCAUCCCUUAGUGCAGAGCUUCCACUUAUUUUCACAUUACAGCAAACAGAAGAUGGAAUGAAUCGAAGAGGCUGACCCAACCUGGCAGGGAGUGCGCUCACCACUGU